rnacentral:ncRNA from 1 species
ACUCCAGGCUAAAUGAAUAGAUUUUUUUUCCCCACUCACUUGGGCUUACCAUACAGCCUAAUAAUUCUACAAUUUUGUUUUAAAACUUCUCUUUUGUGAUGUGUGGGGAGGGAAACCCUGAGGGAUUCUUGCUUCUGGCACCAAGUACUAGGUACGCAACAGGUGUAUCUCACUCUGAGGAUAAGAGUUAGGUAGGGAGUUUGCCUUGGGCUGUAUAUCGUCAAACCAAGUCGAAGGUGUUGUAAGUGAACUCAGUGAGGACAAAAAUCUAUUUCGGACCAAAAGGCAAAAAGCUUGAUCAUUGUGGAUCUUUGGUAUGAAUACAGACCAUAAAAGUGAACCUUUAUAAUCCUUCUGAAUUGAGUUUUAAGGAGAUACCUG